rnacentral:rRNA from 1 species
AAUAGAUACCCGGGUAGUCCACGCCGUAAACGGUGGGCACUAGGUGUGGGCGACAUUCCACGUCGUCCGUGCCGCAGCUAACGCAUUAAGUGCCCCGCCUGGGGAGUACGGCCGCAAGGCUAAAACUCAAAGGAAUUGACGGGGGACCCGCACAAGCGGCGGAGCAUGUGGCUUAAUUCGACGCAACGCGAAGAACCUUACCAAGGCUUGACAUACACCGGAAACGUCCAGAGAUGGGCGCCCCCUUGUGGUCGGUGUACAGGUGGUGCAUGGCUGUCGUCAGCUCGUGUCGUGAGAUGUUGGGUUAAGUCCCGCAACGAGCGCAACCCUUGUCCCGUGUUGCCAGCAGGCCCUUGUGGUGCUGGGGACUCACGGGAGACCGCCGGGGUCGAACUCGGAGGAAGGUGGGGACGACGUCAAGUCAUCAUGCCCCUUAUGUCUUGGGCUGCACACGUGCUACAAUGGCCGGUACAAUGAGCUGCGAUACCGCGAGGUGGAGCGAAUCUCAAAAAGCCGGUCUCAGUUCGGAUUGGGGU